rnacentral:misc_RNA from 1 species
AAGACUAUAGACCUGCGGAGUACCUGCGGAGGGAUCAUUAUCGUAUUGUAACAAUUGGGGGGGCCACCGUGGGCUGUCGCUGACCCUUUGAAAGGGGGGUCAUGCACGCCCCCAUAGUGUCAUCCUCAUACAAUCCAACUCACCUCUGUGCAUCACCGCGUGGGUUCCUUUCUGGGUCGAGUCAGACUGGCUCAGAAAAAAGGGGCUUGCGUUUUCCAUACAAAUACCCUUAUAAAUCCA